rnacentral:rRNA from 1 species
AACGAACGCUGGCGGCAUGCCUAACACAUGCAAGUCGAACGAGAAAGCUCUUCGGAGUGAGUAGAGUGGCGCACGGGUGAGUAACACGUAGGUGACCUACCAAUUGGCGGGGGAUAACCCGGAGAAAUUCGGGCUAAUACCGCAUACGCACAACAAUUUUGGAAUUAGUUGUGGAAAGGAUGCUUCGGCAUUCACCGGUUGAUGGGCCUGCGCGACAUUAGCUUGAUGGUGGGGUAACGGCCUACCAUGGCAACGAUGUCUAACGGAUUUGAGAGAAUGAUCCGUCACACUGGGACUGAGACACGGCCCAG